AUUUAUAGAGAUAUUAAUUUACAAAAGUUUUUUUAUUUAGAUUUUUUAUUUUAAGAUAUAAUUAUUCUAAGAUAAGAAAAAUAUUUGAUUUUAGUACAUAGACAUUAAAGACAUUCACGUUUUUAAAUUUGAUUUUAGUACAUAGACAUUAAAGACAUUCACCAUAUAAUUAUUUUACUAAAUAAAAAAUUAUUUAUAUUUUAUAUAAUUUAGUCAAACAUAUAGAAAUAGUCUUUUUUAUUAGUUUAUAAAAUCAGUUAGGCAUGAACAUUGGCUAUCCAUUUAGGUACAUGUUGUUCCUUUCAGUUAUCAUUUUUUUUUUGAAAUUAGGCUCCGCUUGAAUAUUAUAAAUUUAUAUGUGGGUUUUGAGUUGAAUCUUUCUCAGUCUAGAUGAGUUCGGUUCUGAUGUAUAAGAACCUAAAAAUAUCUAAAUAACAUCUUUGUUGCCAACAUCUGGUUUCUCCAACCACCCAAUUUCAUAUGUUCAUAUCUGAAUACAAAAAUCACUUUCACCCAUUUCAUAAUUAGCAUUUUAUGAGCUCCACCACCUAACCUAUAGUUUGAGGAGGUUUCUGGUCUACAAGUUUUCAUUUUCUAGAGCUCGGUCUAGUAGACAUCUUAGUUGAGUAUGUCUUCUUUUCCUUACCCAAGACGACAUCAUAUUUUAAGAAUAAGGAAAUUCAAUCCUUCCAAAGGCAGUAAUUAUUUGGUUAAAAGGCAAAAAGAAGAUGUUACAUCUCCUUUUUUUUUUGAUGGUGUCAUGUUAUCUCACUGAAGUCACCAAUCAUGAAUCAUGGUCUAUCUCAAGAAGAUGCGCAAGCGUAAGAUGUUCCAAAACUUGGUCCACAUGUUCAAACACUUUUUCGUCCAUAAAAUUGUCAUAUAAUUUUUUCCUAUCAGUGACUGCUUCUAUAUCAAUUAUUAGUUAUUACAUAUGUUUGAGAGUAAAUACAUUAUUUAACAAUGAUCUUAAAAGUGACAACGACCACUAAAAAUAAUUAUGUUGAACUUUUUUCUCGAGUAAGUUUGAAACCAAUGUAUAAGAAUAUCCACAUUUUUAAUCUCAUUUAUACUGACUAUAAGUUUGGUUUAUAUAGUUUUAUUUGUGGGAAAAUUCAGUUCUAUAACAAAUUUUCUACCACUUUUCAAAUUUUACCCUAUGAUAACCAUUUUCAUAAAUACAUUAUGUUUUGGAUGAAAAAGACUAAACUAACCCUUCUAAAUCAUUUAAAAUGUUUAAAAUAAUUUAUAAAACAUUUGUAUGUCAAUCCCAACCCCUUAGUACUAAACCCUAAACAAGAAUCAUUAAUCCCUAAAUUCAAAUGUUAGGGUAUUUUUGAUUGAUUGUAUUUUUUGAAAAAUGGUAGCCAAUUUACGGUAUUUCAAGAAAUUUCUAUUUAUUUUUCAGUUACAUAUUUUAUUUCAUUUAGUUUAUUUUUCAUACUUGAUAAUUUUAUUUAAUAUUUAAACAUCAAACUUGGUAAAAGUAAAAUUAAAUUAAAUCUAUGCUUUUCUUGUAAGAUUAUUUCAAAGGGAAAACAUCGAUCCCAUCGAUUUCGUUGACUAGUUUUCAUCUGCACCUUCAGUUUUAUUUAUAUUUCUUCUGAGUUAAUUUCAAUAUCUAUUUUUAUCCUAUUUAAAGUGUAUUUAUUCUGAGUUAAUGGCAAAGAAGCAUAUUGUAUUUCAUAGGAGUGUAAGAAAAAAAGUAUUUCUUUUGUUGUUAAGAAUUUUCUCAUUUUCAGCCAUGAGACUCAGUGUUAUGUUAAUGGUUUCUUGUGUUCUCACAUUUCUCAUUUUAAAUAAUGAAGUAGAGGUGGAAGCCGGCAUGAGAAAACUUGGCUGCGAUACAUUACCAAGCAAUUAUUUUGGAACAUGCGGAAAAAAUGGAAUUAAUUUAUGUGUAGAAGACGUAAAAAAAAUGAUUGUCAAAAAUACUGGAAAAGCUUUGCCAAAAGGUUAUGGAGUACGUUGUGACAAAUGUAUUGAUCAAGCUCCCAAGCCAGGUUAUGCUCGCAUGCAUCAAUGUGUAUGUAAAUAUGAUUGCUAAAUUUUAAAAUAUCUAUAUAAGCAUAAUCUCUUUACUAAUAAAGACAUGAGAUCAUUGUAAUCAAGAGUUUUUUGGCGUA